AUUUAGGAGCAUCCAGGGGGACACAGAACAGGGUUUCCCACACCUUAUUCCUCAAAUUGGGGAAAGAUUUCCUAUUGUAGGGGGAAGGUUUGAGAACUGACAUUUUGGAAUUCUCUAAGAAAGCAAAACUGCUUCCUUCUGGGUGGAAGAUAAUAGGCUUUUCAUCUAGCAUUAAGAUAAUCAAGAGCUGAACACAGUAUCUGUCUUCUUUCCUAGGCAUACCUCAGGAUUAGGUCAGAGCAAAAAAAGUCAUGUGUUUGUUUAGGGUUGCAAAGCCACCUGAAAUGAUUCUGGGAACCACAAGGAUGACUUAGCAGUGGCCUGUAUGGACUGACCACCAGGGACCAGGUGGAAUCAAAGGCAUAUCACUAGGAGCUGUCAUAAGCAUUUUAACACUGAGACUUUUAACUCCCAAGCUUAUAACACAACAAAGCAUAUUUUCAUUGAACAUCUAGAAAGUUAAAGGGAAAAUCUCAGCAGAAACCAGAAUGGUGUUGCCUCCUCUCACAUCUUCAUCCUCUCUCCCACCUCCCAUGGAAGAAAGGAGACACAAGCACUCACGGACUCUGACCAACAGUGCUCUGCCACCUUCAACACCCUCAGUGGGUCCUGAGGUAUCUCAAAGAUUUCCCAAGACAUUGGAGGAGAAGCACACAAUUUCACUUUGAGAUGGGACACCCAACUUAUGUGUUAUCUUCCACUUGACUCAGAAAAUCAUUUGAAAUGAGCUAUGGCUCCAGUCUGGCAUGUCCAGAGGCAAGGAUGAGCUCAUGCUCAUCCCACAGCAUGCUCUGUUCUAACUAAUCAGACCCUUCCUGACCUACACACACACCUCAGCCCCACUAUAAUGAGAAGGAAAUAUGCUUGUGUUUUAUUCUGGUUAUGAUAUGACAUCCAAACUGUUAUGUUUCUAUUUCUAAAUUCAAUUAAAAAA
rnacentral:lncRNA from 1 species